rnacentral:lncRNA from 1 species
GUUUCAUUAGUUUUCUUUUAUUACAUUUUGUUAUACCAAACAUUGUUCCUGAUAGAUUUUCAAAAAUCUCUACAAGUUAUCAUGUGUGUUAUGAUGGAUAAAAUUGUAAUAGGAGAACAGUCAAAAUCGUAAUCGGAGAUUGAAUUUAACAAUCUUUUUGACGAGACAAUAAUACCAUAUAUACUUAAAAAAAGUUGAAUUGAAAUCCCAAUUUCCAACUGAGGUGUGAGGAGGAGGUUGGCCACUUGUUUUUUGUUUUUCUAUUUUCAUUUUCUGUUUGUCCAAAGGGGUAAAAAUAGGUUGUAGGAACAACAUACUAGGGUAAAAACACAAAUUAUGCAUUCGGGAUCUAU